rnacentral:rRNA from 1 species
UUGAAUUGAAGAGUUUGAUCAUGGCUCAGAUUGAACGCUGGCGGCAGGCUUAACACAUGCAAGUCGAACGGUAACAGGAGAAAGCUUGCUUUCUUGCUGACGAGUGGCGGACGGGUGAGUAAUGCUUGGGAAUCUGGCUUAUGGAGGGGGAUAACGACGGGAAACUGUCGCUAAUACCGCGUAUUAUCGGAAGAUGAAAGU